GCCUACGACCAUCUCACCCUGAAUGCGCCUGAUCUCGUCUGAUCUCGGAAGCUAAGCAAAGUCGAGCCUGGUUUGUACUUGGAUGGGAGACUGCCUGGGAAUACCAGGUGUCGAAGGCU
ensembl:rRNA 5S_rRNA 5S ribosomal RNA